rnacentral:lncRNA from 1 species
UCUCUUAAAAGCACGUUGUGAUUGUGGUUUUCAUGAAUAGUAUGGACACCAGGUAAACAUCUUGAAAUGGGAAAAACGAUGAAGAAAAAGUAAAGAAUUCCUUUUAGGGAUGGUAGAUGCAAAGAUGAUGUGCGCAGUGAAAUAUAAUCUAUCUUUGUGAAUUCUGGAAGAAAAAUCUGACUGAUCAGCAUGGGGUUGAUAUGGUAUAAAACUUCCAAAAGCCUCUAGGCGAGGAAGACAUAAGAAUCAUCAGCCUAUUACCCUUGGUAAGUUUGGAGUUUAAUAAAGUAAAACAUGAUCUUCACUUGAUGUUACCAAUUAACUAAUCUUUGGUAUACUCAGUGAACUUAACUAUUGCAAAGCCAUGAUUUUCUUCUGUAAAAACCAGGACAAAGGUUGAGCAUCUUGCUCCUUAAUUUAUCCUCGAUUAAAAAGUAAAAGCAAGAGGAAAGCAUUUUUUGUGCAUUCGUCAUUAAUGAAAAAGAGGAAGCAUCUGCAUAUAAUAAGAAAUAAUCUGUUUAAGAGUUGGUUUCAGCAAUAACUACUGGUUAUGUGACCACCAGUGUAUCAUCUGAAGAAUUAGCGAGUUAUUAAUAAGAGUUAG